CACAUUUAGAAAGUUUAUGCAACAACAAUAAGAGAAAUAUCAUAAAUCAAAUUAAAGCUGUUAAGUACAAAACAUUUUUUUAAAUCAAUCAUCGCACAUCUAUUAAAAUUAUCUAAACAAUUCCAAAUAGUCUUUGUGUUUAAAGCUAGACUGCCUUUCAGAUUUUUCAAGUGUAGGUCAUAAAAAGAAUUUUCCCCAACACCUAAUUAUUUUUGUUUAGUGGACUGAAAGCUACUGAAUUCGAAUCACAGACUUCCAACUUUAUUAGCUUUCUUUUAACAGAACAAUUAAUGAAUUUAUCUCCACGUGGCCCUAAAUUCCCUGCUAUUUUUUCCUGCUUCACCAUGACCCCAUUCAAGACCCCGAUAGCAGAGGGUCGUUGAAACGACGUAGAGUUUUGGUCAGAAUGGUCGGUUUCCGUCGUACGUCAGAAAAUCAACGUUGAAACGGCGCCGUGAAACGUCGAUUUCUCCGCCGUCUGAGAGGGUCGAUUUAUCACCGUUGAAUCAACGUGGGUAAAGGUUGAUCUGUCGACCGUCAGAGAAGGUUGAAUAUACGACGUUGAACCAUCGUCACUUUUGCCGGCCAGUUUUCAACAUUGGUAGGAUGAGCAACUGGCCCGUAGCCAGGGGGGAUCGGAGGGUUCGUUCGAUCCCCCCCGCGACACCGCGCCCCGGACACACACGCCUCAAGAUUACUCAAGAUUUAUUCAUUUGUUCAUGUCCGAUGAAUAUACAUUGAUUCACAUUUAAAUUUACAAUAUCAAAUCCAGACUAAUCAAAAAAGAAAAGUAGACUAAGUGAGGACGAGUUAGAAAAACGGCUCAUUUCUCCUAUGUUUAUGUUUACACGUUUUGUUCAGACUGCUUUACACCCCAAUCCAGUGGGUGGCGGUAAUGCCCCCAUUAGACCCCUUUCACUGACGUCACCCGAAACCGGAAGUAAACAAACCCUGCGCCACAUUGGAAGACCAACAAACUCGUGAUUUGGGGGAAAUAAAGGCAGCGCGCGGUAUGUGAACCCACGAGGCACUUGGUUCAUCAUAAACCUACAAUGGUAAACUUUUGUGCUGUGUUAGGGUUCUAACAAAGCUGAUGGGAAAGGUGAAAAGAAGUCUUUCUACAGAAUACCAGCUGUGAUUGAGACAACAAGCAAACCAAGGAGCUUUCUGCCAGGAGACAGAGAGAGGAUUUAGCUGCUUUAUACAGAGCAGAUCUGAAUACUUCAAGUCUAUUUUGUUACUGGUCUGCGCCACAGGAGGAAUAGGCCACAAUUAUAAAUAAAUCAUAAAAUGUUUCUAAGAA